rfam:Monodelphis domestica chromosome 3, whole genome shotgun sequence.
UCCACAUGUUAAAGAAACAACUUCUAAGGAUCUUUCUGCAUUUUUGCAAGAAUGGAAGAUAGAUU